UGGUGGAGCGAUUUGUCUGGUUAAUUCCGAUAACGAACGAGACUCUGGCCUAUUAAAUAGUUCGCCGGUUCCGAUCUGUCGGCGUUAACUUCUUAGAGGGACAAGUGGCUUUUAGCCACGCGAGAUUGAGCAAUAACA
rnacentral:rRNA from 1 species